rnacentral:rRNA from 1 species
CAGUAGCCGCGGUAAUACGAAGGGUGCAAGCGUUACUCGGAAUUACUGGGCGUAAAGCGUACGUAGGUGGUGGUUUAAGUCCGUUGUGAAAGCCCUGGGCUCAACCUGGGAAUUGCAGUGGAUACUGGGUCACUAGAGUGUGGUAGAGGAUAGUGGAAUUUCCGGUGUAGCAGUGAAAUGCGUAGAGAUCGGAAGGAACAUCUGUGGCGAAGGCGACUAUCUGGGCCAACACUGACACUGAGGCACGAAAGCGUGGGGAGCAAACAGGAUUAGAUACCCCCGUAGUCCCUGUCUCUUAUAC